ACCUUACCAACUCUUGACAUCCCCCUGACCGGUACAGAGAUGUACCUUCCCCUUCGGGGGCAGGGGUGACAGGUGGUGCAUGGUUGUCGUCAGCUCGUGUCGUGAGAUGUUGGGUUAAGUCCCGCAACGAGCGCAACCCUUGUCCUUAGUUGCCAGCAUUUGGUUGGGCACUCUAGGGAGACUGCCGGUGACAAACCGGAGGAAGGUGGGGAUGACGUCAAAUCAUCAUGCCCCUUAUGAGUUGGGCUACACACGUGCUACAAUGGACGGUACAAAGGGCAGCGAAGCCGCGAGGUGGAGCCAAUCCCAGAAAGCCGUUCUCAGUUCGGAUUGCAGGCUGCAACUCGCCUGCAUGAAGUCGGAAUCGCUAGUAAUCGCAGGUCAGCAUACUGCGGUGAAUACGUUCCCGGGUCUUGUACACACCGCCCGUCACACCACGAGAGUUUGCAACACCCGAAGUCGGUGAGGUAACCGUAAGGAGCCAGCCGCCGAAGGUGGGGCAGAUGAUUGGGGUGAAGUCGUAACAAGGUAGCCGUAUCGGAAGGUGCGGCUGGAUCACCUCCUUUCUAAGGA
rnacentral:rRNA from 1 species